GGCUCAAUGGCCUAGAGGUUGGGCAUCUGCGCAUGAGACCGGAAGUCCUAGGUUCGAAUCGUGGUCGAGCAC
rnacentral:tRNA from 1 species